CCCACACACACACACAGCCCCCUGUCCCUCUCUCUCCUCUUGCCUCCCCUGCUCCUUGUCUCUCCCACCCUGCCUCCCCUGUCACCUGUUUCCUCUUGUCUCUUCGCCCCAUGUCCCCACCACGCCACUGUCUCCCCAGCCUGCUUAACAGCCUGUCCGGUCCGACACCCCACUAUAAUACCCUGAUAAAUCAGCCAGGCCUUCUGCUCCACCAGACCAGACAUGCCAGGUCCUGUCUAGUCUGAGAUUCAGUAUCCAGGGCCUCCUCUCCAGACCCCUAAAGAUGUUCUGAUCAUUAAAGGUGGAUUUGUAGUAUUACUAACACCAUUGCAGUAUUUGUGGAUUUUGGUUAGAGCUUAACCUUUUAUUCAUGAUGGUGAGAUUCUUUAUCUUUUUUAUGAAGUCGCUUUCGACACAAUCUGAGUGGGUGUUAUUAUUUGAUCUGUCUUUUGCGCUGUUCUAGCUAUUAUUAUGUUGGUAUAGGGUAUAUUUAAAUAAAUAUGAUAUCAUAUGCCCAGAUAUUAUGUAUAUUAUGUAUAUUUUUUACAUAUGCUGUAAGGAAUUCGAAAACUUGCUGUGUGUUUCAAUGAUGUUCAAUGACGACCCUUUAGCACAUUCCCCCAUCCAGACUCAUCCCAGAACACAAUGAAAACUGGAACACUGUCCCAAAUCCAUCUAAGGAAGUAUGAUCACUAGAACACUGUCCCAGAAUCAUCCCAGAACAGGUUAAUAAUUAGAAGACUGUCCCAGAAUCAUCCCAGUGCAGGUUAAUAACUGGUGGACUGUCCCAGACUCAUCCCAGAGCAGGUUAAUAACCGGUAGACUGUUCUAGACAUCAUCAUCCUCUCUUUCUCUGUUUCAUGCAGACAAAACUAUCAUGGCAUUCGUUCAUGACCAAGCAGGAACUAACGUAACUAACGUGUUUUGGAGCAGGGACUAAUGUUUCCGGCAUGUGUCUGUUUUGGUGCAGCUCCUAACGUCUGCGGCGUGUGUGAGGGGGUUUGAGAGCAGGUAGUGGGGUCAGUGUGUUUGGGGUCAUGUCUGGAUCCUAAUCCCAGAGGUGAUAUCUGUCUGGUCUGGGUGUUAGAGGGGUGAUGGGGUUCCCCUCCCCCUAUAAGCUGCUGGCGCUGGGGGUCAGCCGGCGUGCCCAGACAGGCCCUUCUUUGACACCUAACUGUCUGCUAGCUCAGGGGUCAACCUCACACACACACACACACACACACCCCGCCCCCCCAGAUCGGUAAUAAACAAAAACAGCACAACAUGGUUGGAAAGGGCAGUAGACACACACAAACUAAAAGACUGACACAUGUACAUAAUAAAUAGUGCUUCCUCCUUUUUAACCUGUCAAUCAACACUUGCUGAUUUUUAAUGAAUUUAUUUUAUGUUUGAAUUUGAACUGUUGUCCUGUCCUUGUAGAUCCUUCUCAUGGUCCUAAACCAAUUCUUCUGUUGUCUUAUGUCUUCUCAGAUGCGGAAGCUACUAUGGAGAUGCAGUGAAUGGAUGAUGAAUUAAGCAUCAUGUCCUUACUAGACCAGAACAAACCAGGUCAGAGAGAGAUGUAGUGAAAGAUGUAAUGCCUGUCUAUCAAUCAAAUUAAUUUUAUUAAGUAUUUUUUACAUCAGCAGUUGUCACAAAGUGCUUUUACAGAUAGCCAGCCUGAAGAGCAAGCAACAACAGAGUUGAUGCACAGUGACUAGGAAUAACUCUCUAGUAGGGUCAAGUAGAGAGAGUAGUAGAGAGGAACCAGAAUCUGAAGGGUGGCCAGUCCUCUUCUGGCUGUACCAGGUGAAGAUUAUAAGAGUACAUCACCGUUUUGGCCACAUCAAUGGUUUUGCAUGUACAGAUGACAAGCAAGUCAGUUUAUGCACGUCGGCUGUGUCCAGAAUCUUUGAACAGAAUCAAAGUCAGCGGCAUAACCAGUGAGAGCAGGAAUCAUUAGGCAGCAACUUGAUCUGCAACGCAAGCAGGAGGACUUUGGACAGGGACAAGCACAAGUCAUUCAGGCCAGGUAGUGCCCCACUUCCUGCUGAGGCUUAACUGAACACCAGGAGAGUUAGAGAGAGCAUUCCUUGGGUACAAAAGGACACAUGAGAAUGCUUUUAAGACUGACCCUUAACCCCGGAAGAUAAACAAUUUGGACUUAAGACAGGACAGACUGAUCCUAGUCCCCCAGCACAAUAAUAUGGCAGCGUAAAACUAGGAGACACUCUGAUUGGAAUUAAGUACAUUAAGGAGACCACAUCACAAUCAAGGGGAUGCAGUUCUCCUGAAUAUAUUGAUUAUCACCAUGUGCUUAUGUGUGGAUAAGGAGUCUUAACCAUGGGAAAGGUAAGUUUAUGAGUGGUGAUUGAAAAGUAAUGCAUUUCUUAAAAACCUUUUAUUAGAUCUAAAUGAAUUAUUUUGGAGCCAAUUUAGGGGGGAGAUUGGUAAAGGAACCCCCAGGGUGCUUCUGAAAUUCAAAGCUUUUUAAAAAUCCUUGAUUCGCUGGAGUUUGUGUAUGUGCUUGUAUUGCCACUUUAUACCUUUUUGCACUAGAAUGUACAUGCUUAUAUCCUUGAUCGUAAUAACAGUAGAAAUAAAUGAGUGCUGCACAUUUCUAUGAUCCGUGAGAAAUAAAUACAAAUAAAGUGAACGUGUUUGGAAAAAGAAAAGCUGUCGUCUCAUUUUUUUUUCUCUGCACUGGAAUGUAUCAAAACACAAUAUUGAAGUUGGUCAGUGUUCCUGCGCUGUGCACUGUAGAUGUCAGCAGGCAAUCCGACGUUUCCCACAGUCAUUUAGAUCAUCUUCUGAGUCUUCCGCAGGACUACUGUGCACACAGUUGAACCGAAUGGCCUACAUCUUCGGAGUCAAUUAGGUCCCUGUGUAUGAGAGUAUCGCGGAAAACGAGCUGCGGGAGCGGCUGGAGCUGAAGAACACGCCGCACAAAGACUCCCGCCCGCACACGCAGACAAGCAGGCCUUGUGUUGUCGUUAUCAUAUCGCCUAUUGUUUUCCUCCAACAGCCGGCUCAUGCGAUGCCCCGGUGCGCUCCAGUGCCCCCGGCUGAAAUGGGCUCUGUGUCCCCCUGCACAGGGCCGCCAGCCUGGCCCCUGUCUCAUCCUGACCGGGAAGGGCCUGAAAUUAGAGCCCAGCCUCCUUGGCCUGUGACUCGGCCACCAGGAGCGGAGGCCCUGGGCCUUGGCCUGAAAGAGAGAAAGGAGAUUAUCCCAUUCUGUCCGGCCAGUCAGUGGUGCUGGUAUUGACCUGGGCCCACCCAGGGAGAGUCCAGUGAGCCGUGAGAUGGCCUGAUAUACAUGCUUACUGAGCUGGGCAGAUUCCCUCACUCACCAGGGAUAAAGCCAACCCAUACAAGAUGCUUUCUUAAACACUGCUCUGGAGAUUACAGACCCCCCCCCCCCCC
ensembl:lncRNA